UGUGCACCGGUGGGGUCCCUCAGCCUGGCCUGUGCUUUCUUGCAAUCCGGGACCCCUUGGGGGAUGUCAGAAAGCUGGUUUUGGCCUGAUCCCGCAGGCCAGGCUGAGGGACCCCACUGGUGCAAG
rfam:Myotis brandtii contig281395, whole genome shotgun sequence.